UGUUACGAAUCUUGUUGCUUCGGGGGCGACCCUGCGGCUUCGUCGGAACGCCUCACUGAGCCAUUCUCACACACUGCAUCAUUGCGGCGGAGUAAAAGUAAAUGAAACAAAAAUUCAACAACGGAUCUCUUGGUUCCAGCAUCGAUGAAGAACGCAGCGAAAUGCGAUAAGUAAUGUGAAUUGCAGAAUUCAGUGAAUCAUCGAAUCUUUGAACGCACAUUGCGCCCUCUGGUAUUCCGGGGGGCAUGCCUGUUCGAGCGUCAUUUCACCACUCAAGCCUGGCUUGGUAUUGGGCGUCGCGGUGCCGCGCGCCUUAAAGUCUUCCGGCUGAGCUGUCCGUCUCUAAGCGUUGUGGCAACUAUUCGCUUCGGAGGCCGGGCGGCCGCGGCCGUUAAAUCUUUCACAAGGUUGACCUCGGAUCA
rnacentral:sRNA from 1 species